AACGCGAAGAACCUUACCUGGGCUCGAAGCACAGUGGACCGGGGUAGAAAUAUCCCUUUUCGCAAGAACUGCUGUGGAGGUGCUGCAUGGCUGUCGUCAGCUCGUGUCGUGAGAUGUUGGGUUAAGUCCCGCAACGAGCGCAACCCUUAUCGUUAGUUGCCAGCGGGUCAAGCCGGGCACUCUAGCGAAACCGCCCCGGAUAACGGGGAGGAAGGUGGGGAUGACGUCAAGUCCUCAUGGCCUUUAUGUCCAGGGCUACACACGUGCUACAAUGGUCGAGACAACGGGUAGCCAACCCGCGAGGGGGAGCCAAUCCCAGCAAACUCGCUCUCAGUUCGGAUGGCAGGCUGCAACCCGCCUGCCUGAAGCCGGAGUUGCUAGUAACCGUGGGUCAGCACACCACGGUGAAUACGUUCCCGGGCCUUGUACACACCGUACGUC
rnacentral:rRNA from 1 species